rnacentral:misc_RNA from 1 species
ACAAGGCAAAAGCAAAGCUCAUUGUAGUUUUGACGCGUGGAGGGACAACAGCUAAGUUGGUAGCCAAGUACAGACCAGCUGUCCCAAUCCUCUCUGUGGUUGUUCCAGUCUUGACGACUGACUCAUUUGAUUGGACCUGCAGUGAUGAGACACCGGCAAGGCACAGUCUGAUAUAUAGGGGCUUGAUUCCUCUUUUGGCAGAAGGAUCCGCUAAGGCUACUGAUGCAGAAUCCACUGAGGUUAUUUUGGAAGCUGCUUUAAAUUCAUCGACUGAGAGGGGUUUGUGCAAGCCUGGUGAUGCUGUUGUUGCCCUCCAUCGAAUUGG